rnacentral:tmRNA from 1 species
GGGGGCGAUCGGUUUCGACGGAGGUACUCGACUUCUUUGCUGCGUGCCGUGGCAUCCGUAGACCCACGUAAAAAUCCACGGAAACCCUAAUUGCGAACGAUAACGCAAUGCCGGAAACGGCACUCCUCGCGGCCUAAAGAACCGACGAAGACGUCCACCCCAAGAGUCCGUCAGUAGUCUGGGGCUGGGCGUAACGAACUGACUAGCCAAACGUCGGGCCACCGGGCGUAAGGCGAAAAUAAACAGGUUGCUAGCGCCGGGGAGAGGUUGUCGAUGAUCGCGACCCGGUGCGAAGCAAAUCACCGACUACGCACGUAGAGGCAGGAAGAACGCGGCUUUCGGACCUGGGUUCGAUUCCCAGCGCCUCCACCC